rnacentral:snRNA from 1 species
UAGAAGAAGAAGAAGAAG